CUUGCUUGGGAAGGAAUGUGAGUUAGAGAGUAAUCCAUCAAUCUUUGAGAGUGGUUUUAAACUCCUACCAGCCUGGAAAAUUCCCCCCAUACUUACCAGAAGUAAGACAAUGACGUAUCUGAUGGCACUGAGAUUUAGUCAUGAGUUUUAUUUGGAAAUGCUUUUGAAAGCUUUACUUGCCCUGUCUCAAUUCGCUCAUCUUACUGCACGUCUGGUUCUGAAGCAUGUAUCAAUUUGUGUGUCUUUGAUAAGUGCAAUUUUACUACAAUUGACACAGAUCGUUCUCUCACUGAUUUACAGCGUGAAGAACACCAUGCAGGGUUCUGCUCCUCCUUCCAAGCUUCCACCAUGGCCUAAGCCCAAGGCUGGUGGAAAUGUGAGAACCCAGGGCUUGGAGAAGAGCUGUCAGGUUGCCAUUCAGAUGAGCAGCUGCUUUGACAGACAGCAAAGGGGUGGAAGUAGAGGCUGAAGGGAUUGAAAGCAUAAGAAGGAAGCAACACACAUGGAUGUCUUCGUGGAUGGCGCUGCCCAUGAGUAAAGAAAUGUGGUGAUCUGCAGCAGCAGAGGGUGGCCUUGGCCAAUGACCACCAAGGAAACUAGACCUCAGUCCCACAGCAACAAGGACCUGGAUCCUCCUGCCAACCACAUGGAUGAGCUUGGAAGCAGCGUCUCCCUCAGAGCCUCCAGAUAAGAGGCCAGCCCAGCUGACACCUCAACCUGGGGCUUGUAAGACCCUAAGCAGAGAAUGCAGAUGAGUCUACCUGGACUUUCAACCUACAGAAUCAUGAGCUAAUAAAUGGAUGUCCUUCUAAGCUGCUAAAUUUGAG
rnacentral:lncRNA from 13 species